UACAGAGGUCCCAAGCGUUGUUCGGAUUCACUGGGCGUAAAGGGUGCGCAGGUGGUUUGGCAAGUUUGACGUGAAAGCCCCGGGCUUAACCCGGGAAUGGCGUUGAAAACUGCUUGAACUGGAGGGUCGGAGGGGGGACUGGAAUUCUUGGUGUAGCAGUGAAAUGCGUAGAUAUCAAGAGGAACACCAGUGGCGAAGGCGAGUCCCUGGACGAUACCUGACACUGAGGCACGAAAGCCAAGGGAGCAAACAGG
rnacentral:rRNA from 2 species